UGAGGAAUAUUGGGCAAUGCCCGAAAGGGUGACCCAGCAACGCCGCGUGGAGGAUGAAGGUCGUAAGAUUGUAAACUCCUGUUAGAGGGGAAGAAUAACUAAGUUUGGAGCUUAGUAUGACUGUACCCUCAGAGAAAGCCACGGCUAACUACGUGCCAGCAGCCGCGGUAAUACGUAGGGGGCAAGCGUUGUCCGGAUUUACUGGGUGUAAAGGGCGCGCAGGCGGAAUGGAAAGUCAGUGGUGAAAUCCUACAGCUUAACUGUAGAACUGCCUUUGAUACUUUCAUUCUUGAGUUCGGGAGAGAGAGACGGAAUUCCAGGUGUAGUGGUGAAAUACGUAGAUAUCUGGAAGAACACCAGUUGCGAAGGCGGUCUCUUGGUCCGAUACUGACGCUGAGGCGCGAAAGCGUGGGGAGCAAACA
rnacentral:rRNA from 1 species